GAGUUUGAUCUUGGCUCAGAUUGAACGCUGGCGGCAUGCCUUACACAUGCAAGUCGAACGGUAACAGGUCUUCGGACGCUGACGAGUGGCGAACGGGUGAGUAAUACAUCGGAACGUGCCCAGUCGUGGGGGAUAACUACUCGAAAGAGUAGCUAAUACCGCAUACGAUCUGAGGAUGAAAGGCGGGGGACCUUCGGGCCUCGCGCGAUUGGAGCGGCCGAUGGCAGAUUAGGUAGCUGGUGGGAUAAAAGCUUACCAAGCCGACGAUCUGUAGCUGGUCUGAGAGGACGACCAGCCACACUGAGACUGAGACACGGCCCAGACUCCUACGGGAGGCAGCAGGUGGGGAAUUUUGGACAAUGGGCGAAAGCCUGAUCCAGCAAUGCCGCGUGCAGGAUGAAGGCCUUCGGUUGUAAC
rnacentral:rRNA from 1 species